rnacentral:rRNA from 1 species
AAGCGGCAAAAACGAGGGUUUGAUUCAUGCUCAGCUAGUACGCGGGGGAUGGAGGAUUAUACAUGCGAGGGUUUCGGCCCGCACGGGUGAGUAGUGUGCGAGUAGCCAGAGGAGGACCUUAGAGAUU